rnacentral:rRNA from 1 species
GAUGAACGCUGGCGGGAGGACGAACACAGGAAAGUCGAACGGAAGCACAGUAAGCGCUUGCUCUUACGGUUGGCGAGUGGCGGACGGGUGAGGAAUACAUCGGAAUCUACUUUUUCGUGGGGGAUAACGUAGGGAAACUUACGCUAAUACCGCAUACUACCUACGGGUGAAAUCAGGGGAUCUUCGGACCUUGCGCGAUUGAAUGAGCCGAUGUCGGAUUAGCUAGUUGGCGGGGUAAAGGCCCACCAAGGGAACGAUCCGUAGCUGGUCUGAGAGGAUGAUAGGCCACACUGGAACUGAGACACGGUCCAGACUCCUACGGGAGGCAGCAGUGGGGAAUAUUGGACAAUGGGCGCAAGCCUGAUCCAGCCAUACUGCGUGGGUGAAGAAGGACUUCGGGUUGUAAAACCCUUUUGUUGGGAAAGAAAAGCAGCAGGUUAAUACGCCGCUGUUCUGACGGUACCCAAAGAAUAAGCACCGGCUAACUUCGUC